rnacentral:rRNA from 1 species
CCUACGGGAGGCAGCAGUGGGGAAUAUUGGGCAAUGGGCGCAAGCCUGACCCAGCAACGCCGCGUGAAGGAAGAAGGCUUUCGGGUUGUAAACUUCUUUUCUGAGGGACGAAGAAAGUGACGGUACCUCAGGAAUAAGCCACGGCUAACUACGUGCCAGCAGCCGCGGUACGACGUAGGUGGCAAGCGUUAUCCGGAUUUAUUGGGUGUAAAGGGCGAGUAGGCGGGAAAGCAAGGCAGUGGUGAAAACUCAGGGCUCAACCCUGAGCCUGCAUUUGAAACUGUUUUUCUUGAGUGCUGGGGAGGCAAUCGGAAUUCCGUGUGUAGCGGUGAAAUGCGUAGAUAUACGGAGGAACACCAGUGGCGAAGGCGGAUUGCUGGACAGUAACUGACGCUGAGGCGCGAAAGCGUGGGGAGCAAACAGGAUUAGAUACCCCGGUAGUC